GGCCUUUUGAAUUUAAUAUAAGGUCUGACCUGCCCAGUGAUGAGUUUAACGGCCGCGGUAUACUGACCGUGCAAAGGUAGCAUAAUCAUUAGUCUUUUAAUAGAGGGCUGGAAUGAAAGGUUUAACGAGGAACUGGCUGUCUCAUUUUAUAUGUUUUAAAAUUUAAUUUUUUAGUUAGAAAGCUAAAAUAACAUUGGUAGACGAGAAGACCCUAUAGAGCUUUACAUAUAAUUAUAUAAAUAUUUUUAUAUUAAUAUUUUUAUUUAAUCUUAUGUUUUGUUGGGGUGACAAAAAUAUAAAAAUAACUUUUUUAUUUAUUAUACAUUGAUUUAUGAAUAUUAGAUCCAUUAUUAUUGAUUAUUAGACUAAGUUACCUUAGGGAUAACAGCGUAAUCCUCCUCCAGAGUUCAUAUUUACAGGAUGGGCUUGCGACCUCGAUGUUGGAUUAAGAUAAUAAUUAGGUGUAGCCGCUUAAUUAAUAGGUCUGUUCGACCUUUAAAUUCUU
rnacentral:rRNA from 1 species